rnacentral:rRNA from 1 species
AAAGGGCGCGUAGGCGGACAUUUUAGUCAGGCGUGAAAUUCCUGGGCUUAACCUGGGGGCUGCGUUUGAUACGGGGUGUCUAGAGUGGGGAAGAGGGUCGUGGAAUUCCCAGUGUAGAGGUGAAAUUCGUAGAUAUUGGGAAGAACACCGGUGGCGAAGGCGGCGACCUGGUCCUUGACUGACGCUGAGGCGCGAAAGCGUGGGGAGCAAACAGGAUUAGAUACCCUAGU